rnacentral:lncRNA from 1 species
GACAGAUAUAUACGAAAACUCACUAUGAUGGAACGUGACUCAAAACGAGAAGCAAGGUCUAAAACCUAGAUAGCCUCGAAAAAAAUGUGUGGCCAAAAACUAAAACUGCAAAAAGCUGCUCUGGAAAACGUGCAGACGUCUCAAAAUUUCCGCUAUGAUGACGGAUAGCUAAAAACGAUCCCGGAAGUAUAAAAACAGUGUAUGCUAAAUUUUUUUUUUUUUGCUCGCCUCUUUCCUUGCGGCCGAAACUUUCCGGACUUAUAUCAACUCACAGAUCGGACCGAGAUCUCUUCGUACGGGAAGCAAACUCUAAAAAGGAAGACAAAAUAAACCUGAUUUGAUACGGUAUGUGAAAUCAACAAUGAUACGGAUAUGGAUAUGUGGUGGCGGAAUUGGUGGCGGAAGAUGGUAAGUGGAACCGAAAUUGAUACGGUUAAGGAUAUGUGGUGGCGGAAUUGGUGGCGGAAGGUAAGUGGAACCGAAAUUGAUACGGUUAGAGAUAUGUGGUGGCGUGGAAGAUCGGCGAGCG